GAAUGGUGUUUGUGUUGGCAUUUGUGGUCCCUGUGUCAACUGCCAACUGCCACGGCAUGUGACACUGUCAGGGGACUGUAGGUGUGAGGAAGGACUCAGCUGGAGGGCUCGUGCCACCUCACCUCCAGGACUCAGCAGAUCAGUGGCAGCCAUAGCACCCACACCUGGCCCAGCCAGCACAGGAGCUGUGGGACCCCAGCCUUCUGUCCAUCCAUCCAUCUCUCCACCAUCUCUCUGUCUGUCCUGUGGCCUCAGGAAAGCACACCUGUUGGGAGAGCCAAAGUCACUGGGAACCUUCAGUGCAGUGGAGGAGCCCGGGCCAUGUGUUUACAGCUCUUCGUGUCUCUGCGGUCUGGGGAGGCGCCUGGCAGAGGUGAAACGGACGUGGACAGCCAGGCCUCCAUGCCCCGCUCACUUGGCCCUAAGCUUCCAGAAGACUUUCGGUGGAGCAAGGGGGGCACAGAAGCCUCCUGUCCUCUGUCACUCACUGCCCCAUGGCCACUGUGACUGGCAUGUCCUUGGUGUGCGGUGUACGGGUCCUUGGCAAGGUGGCCCGAGACAGCCACUCUGAGCAGGAGUCUUUGCCAGGGGCAGGGAAACAGCCAGGAGCAGCAGGUGCCAUUACCAGAGUCUGAGGUUUGCACUCAAC
rnacentral:lncRNA from 1 species